CAGUUGUAUUUUUUUUAAUUCAUAGAUACGUAAAAUUAAUACUUAUUAUAAUUAAUUUCUUAAUUCUCGAACUCAGAGUAAGUUUGAAUCUGAAUAUAAACGUAGGUACCUAUAUUUUGUGGGAUAAGGUAAUUUUCGCUGUGCAUAGUAUGAAGUGAGAAAAAGGUUUGUUUUUAAAUUUUUUACAUUAGUACGUACCUAUAGUAUAGGUGUUGACAAAAUUUCAAAAUAAUUCAUUGAUGGCUGUAAAAAAUGCUACUCAGUACAGUAGGUAUGUACCUACCUAUACUUUUUUCCCGGUUCAUAUAAAAGUAGGUACGAAGUGGAUGAAAUGAUGAUGAUCGUGGACACCAUCUUGUCAGCUUAAAAAACGCGUGUCUUUGAUAUCUUUGCAAACACAUGUGUCAGAAAAAAAAAUUUCGUUAUUUCGGUUUUUUUUCGAAUAGGUAGGUAGAUAGAUACCUACCUAUACCUAUACCUUCGAAACUGAUCGGAAUUUCCGAAUUUUUAAAACAACAAAAUACGCAACUUUUCUUUAAUUUAACCCACUGUGUUCCUAUCUCUGAUAUGGUUUCCUAUUUCCCCAUGCUGUGCUUUCUUACCUAUAGGUACAAUUUCUUUCAAGUUCGUAUAAAAAAAGGAACUUUGUCCCCAUUUAACUCACCUGUAUCUCUCACCGUUACGGAGAUCCCAAUGGUGAGCCACGAAUGUGAACCGCCCUGUAUACAUAACAAAUUUGAAGUAGAUUUAGUUUCAGAUAAUUGAUAUUUCCAAGACUUUGUGUAGGUACCAAGAGAGGGAUAAUAAAUAAAUCAAUAAAUAAAUAAAAUAAAUGUAGUUAUACCUACCCUGAAUUUACUUGUAUUGAAGGUACCUAAUUGUGAUAAAAUAUAAACAUUUCAGGCCUUACAUUUACAUAUAUUACAAGGAACAAUAUAGGUAUAGGUAUAUAUGGAUUAUUUGAAUCAAACUUGAAACGAAUACUAAAACGUUAGGAUAGCAAAUGAAAUGUCAUCAGCAGAAUGAAAAUUGUUGGUUUCUAUAGGUAGACUCACCUAUACCUAGUAGGUAGGUAAUAUAACAUGUACCUAGUAGGUACCUAUUUAUUUAAAUAUACGAGUACUUAUAGGUAGGUACCUAGUUAGUCUCAGUUAAAACCUUGUCUUUGUACCUAUGUGUAUGUAUAUAGAGACCUAUUUAAUAAAUGAAUUGCUACUGAAAUAGCACAGAAAAGUCGCCAAUCGCAUCAAAUUACCUUCCCUAUAACUAGAGAAGAUGCCAAAACUGUAACAAUAAAUUAUGUCCACUUAAUUAAUCGUUACAAAAUAUUUUGUAUUACAUUUUUCAAAUUUUUACUGUUAGGUAUAGUUCUUACUGCAUAAUGUAAGUAGAUAGAUAGGUAGGUAGGUAGGUACCUAUGCGAUGAGUGAUAUCCUAGGUAUAUUAAAUAAUUAAACAUAAGUAUACUUGGAGUGAAUGUUUACUGUAGGUAGGUACAUAAAGCUGGUUUUCUAAUAUAUUUUUUAAAUAAAUAUCUUUAACCUUACCGUCUAGCCUAAAUUGUUGAACGGUGUAAAACAAAAUGGCGUGAUAUCGAUGGCGCAGGGGUGUGCGCAUGCCCCAUUGUAACAGAAUCUUAAUAAUCUAUUUAACGUGGCUUUUUAUGUGUAGGUAUAUAGCUUUAUAGAUCAUAAUAGGUAGCUGCAAAAUGCCUAUUGGGUACCUACCUACCUAUACAAAAUAAACUCAGAAAAAACCGUCUUUCACACGCAGCUCAGAAUACUCCUUUUAAUGCACUUACUGUAAUCCAUUUGGAUACAUUUUUUGCAAGUUGAUACUUUCCAGUUUCUAGUCGUGCACAGGGUUCUGUAAUCCUCCAUUUGUAUAUAGGAGAUAAAUACGUACCUAGCUACAUGUUAAAAGUUGAUUUUUUUAAACGGAACAGUAUAUUCUUUAAAAUCCAUUUUUGAAUUUUGUGGCAAAUUUUACGCAUAGGUACUUAGGUAAUAGGUACAUGCAAGUACUUAGGUUGUUGACAUUAUUUAACAAAACGUUGGUAUAAUGAGUUAAAGUAUAAGUAGGUAGGUAGGUACCUAUAGGUACACCGCAUCAAUCUCCCAUAACUGCAAUAUCGCGGCCUCUUCAAAACUUGUAGGUAAUAAUUCGUCUAUUUUUUAAAAUCCCUUUAAUUAUGAGUGUGAUGUAUAAAUGAUAUUUUGCAACUUUAUAGUUUAAAAACAAAGUUUAUAUCCUUGGGGGCAUCGUUUUUUAACAGUGACACACAUUUUGAUGUUUUGACGACUUUGCCACUUUCUUUAAACAUCAUAAACCGACUUAUUUCAUGCGUAGGAAAGUGUUGUCGCGUGUACGGAAGCACAGAAGCAUUCAAGAUUAUGUUGUGUGAAUACGGUGGUUUUUUAUGGGCCGUUGUAUAUCUUCUAGCAUCGUAUAAAUCUAUUAUCUCUCUUUAAAAAUUGCGUCGGUAAUGAAUAUAUCUCAUAAAACUGUCGAAAACAUUUCAUUCAUGGUGUCUACCGAGAGUUGUAAAGUUGUAAGUAAUAUCAAACCCAUCCGAAAUUAGUAGAAUGUCCUACAUUUACAAAUUACACUAUAACGACCAUAAAAACGCAAUAAACGCGGCGAAUAAAACGGUUAAGGCAGGUCAGGACGCGGGUCGUAAAACACUGUUAUAGUCAGGAGUCGUACGCCGUAAAAGCACCGCACCCAGUAUUUUAUAGACAUCGGCCUAACAACACUAGUUAGUAGACUUCCUUCCGGUUUAGUUGUGAAGUAUCUGCGACCUUGAACUUGAUUUGUUAUUAUUUAUUUAAAUCAUAAUUAGGUGAUAUUCUAGUGUGGGUUCAGAAAUUUGACAUGGAGGUUAUCGCGCCAAUCUGAAAGUCAAAUUUUUCAAGAUGAUCUUAAUUCGUUGCUUAAAGUUUAACAAGUUAGAUAUUAUAGUCAUUUUACCACUGAGUUCAUCAAUUUUUGCAUAAUAGGAAGUUGUAAAUAAUAAUAUUUCAUUUAGUGACUGUUUACACCUACACACGUCAACAACCUGUUACUGAUUGUCUCAGACAGUAUUUCAUUGACUCUUAAAAUUUUACGAGGCAUAAAAGUAACCGUUUAUGAGAUACUUUCACAGCACCUAGACUAUGGCUUUUAGAACGCCGGUGGUUGCACACCUUUAAGUGUGAAUUUAUAAAUGCAAUUGAAGCCAUUUUUACGAAUCUAAUUAUAAAAUAUAGGUAUGCGUUGGCAGCACACGUCAGUCACCAGAAGCCAGAAAAGUAGGUUCUCCCUUUCUUAUUACUUUUAUUUAAAAACGUUCUAUGUAAAUUCCUUACAUUUAUUUUUACCUUGGAAUAAAUACUUGAACUUCUCUAUUUUCCAUGUCAAUAAUUGGCUUGAUUGCUUUAUUUUGCUUCCCCUCCAGUUGCGUGGGUGUAUCUUAUUGAUAUUAUGGACCGUCCCAAAUCGCGAUGGCCGACCGGGGAGAGCUUAAAUUCUACUGAUUGGUUGGUUGAGGGAUAAAAAAAAGGCAGAGCUUUCCAACCAUUUAUUAUGUAAAAUGUGGAGAAACCAUAAUGGCAGUUCAGCGUAGGGCCAAUCAGAAUUUUCGACUACAAGUUUAGUUUGGGUUCUGCAGGAUGCCAUAGAAACGAUCCGCGUGAGUGUACGUAGUUCAGCUUUGCAAUAACAGAGGGUAGCACAGAAUGAAGCGGUUCCUAUUUGAACUGAAGGGUAACUUUUUGUAUACCUAGUAGACUUGGAUUAAUGUAAACAUAAAGACGGUACCAGGUACUUGUGGGGCACGUGAGCUAUACCUGACUAAUAAUUUUCCGUUAAAUCGAUGACAGAAGAAUGAUUUAAACUGAACGGACGAUUAAAUCAAUAAAUUGUACUUUAUAGCGGUAGCUAAUACGGGUUUCUAUACGAAAAAUUAAUCUCUCGCGCUUUUUCCGCAUUGCGCCCCAUCUAGCGCAAACGCCUAGGUGGGUAUACAAACCUUCACGCACUUUUUUACCACCUCUAUUCUCCAUCAAUCACACUGACAUUUAGUUUUCUGCUUUUCAUAACUCAUCAUGAAUUUAAAAAGACGGAACAUGUUUUUUUAUUGCUAGUUUAUGUUUCUAGAAUCCGUUUUAGACGUUAAGAUAAAUAUUAUGAAUUCUGACGGGUUUUUAAGGGGAUGUAAACACUUGUUAUUUUCUAAUCCAAAAUGUUUUGCUAUUUUUCAGAAUAUUCGGCCAUUUCCUAUAUGUUUACUUUUUAAUACCUACAACCGUGUUUCUACUUAUAGAAAAUGUACCUACAUACCUACCUACACCUAAGACUGAAUGAUGGGAUUAACUUUUAAUACGAUCCUUACAAUUAGAUUAAUUAGAACAGAAACACAUGUUGAUUCCAUUAUAAACGUUUAGUACCUAUAUAAGUCGGUAGGUAGGUACCUACUUAAUACUUAUUUCAAAAAAUGUACUUAAUUUCCAUGUCUAAUAUAGCUAACACAUAAAAGCUGAUUUUGUGAUGUCCUACGAGUUAAGAGCCGAAACCAAUCAGAAAAGCAAUAAUGUUAAGUUUCAUAUAUGUAACCAGUCUGUAGUUUUUAUGUAUGUUAUGGUUCAUUUCUUUAGUUGACAACGUUACAAGUCUUUGCUGUCAUAAAAAGUUUUACAUAUAUAGCGGGUUGGUUUCGGAGUAAUAGUCUUCUAAAAACUGUUGU